rnacentral:tRNA from 1 species
GCCGAGGUCGUCUAGUGGUAGGGCGCCAGCCUGGAGUGAGCCUCCUGGAGAGCUGGUGACUCGAAAGAGUCUCGUGAGUUCGAAUCUCACCCUCGGCG